rnacentral:pre_miRNA from 1 species
AGUGCUGGGAGAUGUUAUCACGUGCUAUCUCAUUCAGUGAUAUUGUCAUCCAGCACAGC